CUACGGAGGAUCCGAGCGUUAUCCGGAUUUAUUGGGUUUAAAGGGUGCGCAGGCGGGAGAUUAAGUCGGCGGUGAAAUUUUGCAGCUCAACUGUAAAAGAGCCUUCGAAACUGGUUUCCUUGAGUGUAGAUGAAGUAGGCGGAAUUUGUGGUGUAGCGGUGAAAUCCAUAGAUAUCACGAGGAACUCCGAUUGCGCAGGCAGCUUACUAAACUACUACUGACGCUCAGGCACGAAGGCGUGGGGAUCAAACAGGAUUAGAUACCCUGGUAGUCCACGCAGUAAACGAUGAUUACUAGCUGUUUGCGAUACAAUGUAAGCGGCUGAGCGAAAGCGUUAAGUAAUCCACCUGGGGAGUACGUUCGCAAGAAUGAAACUCAAAUGAAUUGACGGGG
rnacentral:rRNA from 1 species